GAUGAACGCUGGCGGCGUGCUUAACACAUGCAAGUCGAACGGAAAGGCCCAAGCUUGCUUGGGUACUCGAGUGGCGAACGGGUGAGUAACACGUGGGUGAUCUGCCCUGCACUUCGGGAUAAGCCUGGGAAACUGGGUCUAAUACCGGAUAGGACCACAUUUUGGAUGGUGUGGUGGAAAGUUUUUCGGUGUGGGAUGAGCUCGCGGCCUAUCGGCUUGUUGGUGGGGUAAUGGCCUACCAAGGCGUCGACGGGUAGCCGGCCUGAGAGGGUGUACGGCCACAUUGGGACUGAGAUACGGCCCAGACUCCUACGGGAGGCAGCAGUGGGGAAUAUUGCACAAUGGGCGCAAGCCUGAUGCAGCGACGCCGCGUGGGGGAUGACGGCCUUCGGGUUGUAAACUCCUUUCGCUAGGGACGAAGCGUUAUGUGACGGUACCUGGAGAAGAAGCACCGGCUAACUACGUG
rnacentral:rRNA from 1 species